rnacentral:lncRNA from 1 species
UUCAUUGGUAGUGUAUAGAAAUGCAACACAUUUCUCUAUUACUAACUUUGUAUCUGGCAGCUUUAUGGAAUUCACUGAUGAGCUCUAGUAGUUUUCUGGUAGACUACAUUCCUUUCAAACAGAUCACAGGGCAUCCCAGAUACAAGGAAAGAGGACUACAUAACCACAUGAAUAUGAGGAAGUAGUGGGGACCACAGAAAUAAGAGCCCACCACAAGGAAAUGACCUGGAGGGGAGGGAAAAAUUACAGAGGAGCAGGAGGAAAUUUUACGGUGUGAUAGGUAUCUUUUCUUAUGGGUAGUGGUGAUGCUUUCAUAGGCAAUGUAUGUUGAUGAAUAUUCAAUAAACACUCAAGCCCAGAAGAAAAAAAAAAAAAGAAUUUUAUUCAAGCCAGCCUGAAGAUUAUAACCCAGCAAACAGAUUCUCAGCUCUGGAGAACUGCCUCACUUGUUAGAAGUCCAAGGCAUAGUCGUGUACAUUUUCAAGACAAAGGAUCAUACAUCAGAAUGACAUAUUUAUAUUUUACGUAAAGUUUGCCAAGGAUAGGUAGUUCAGGGAAGCAGGUACAAAACAAGUAGUGAGUCACCAUGACCCCUGAUCCCUUACAGAGUUGGUAAGGAAGGGUAUUAUUUUAAGAAGGUCCAUUGUGAGUUGGAAGAAUGAAAAAGAAAAUUGGUCUUUAUGGUCAAGCAGGCACUGGCAUCUUUGAGCAGCAGCCCUGGUCCAUGUGUAAUAUGGAUGCACACUGGGGAAGGAGGAUGGAGGCCCAAACAAACGCAUGCAGAGAGAACUUCAUGUUUAAAUGUUCGCGUCCUGCCUUAAAAUGGAAAUUUUAUGUUUACAUUUUCUUGUCCUGCUUUAAAAUAGAAAUUUUAUUUCUUCAUACAUAUCAAACUUUGAAUUGUACACUUUAAAUGUGUGUCAUUUAUUGUAAACCAAGCAUAAUCUCCAUAAAGCUCUUUUCAAAAAGAAAGCAAUCUACUUACAGAAGAGAGAAAUAUUUCAGUCAAUUAUGGGAUAGCUGUUAGGUGGAAUCUUUUAUAGCAAUUAUCAGUGGUGAGAAGAGUAUGAAGUAACACUGGGAAAUUGCUCUUGACACGAGGACAAAUGAAAAGAGCAGUAUGAAAUUCUGGGUGCACUGAGGAUUUUGUGAAAAUGCGUAUGUGUGUGCCAAGCUAGAAAAUAUAUGCAAGAUGAAAAUACCUUCACUAGGGAGGGAGAAAAACAUGGAUUUUAGAAUACCAUGGAUUUUUCACUUUAACUGUCUACAGGUUCUGCUAUGGUGUUGCUGUAUUUUCUUUAGAAUUCACUUCCUGAUCCUUUUUAUGUUGCUCGCAUUCGGUUACCUAUGUGUCAGGCCCUUCAGCUCCUGCCCUGGCAGUGUCAAACCCACGUCUGUCUAAGCACGUUGUUCCCAUGUGGGUCACUCGACACAGGGCCACCUGUUCUAGAGUUUAGAUGGGGACAGUCAGUGCCGCCCUGGAGUAACACAGCUCGUCAAUCCUGAUCGCAGGCUUGCUUCCUCUCCCACCUGGCGCUGUCAUACCGGCUUCCAAACCCAGGCAGGUUCUAUUUCACAAUUAUUUCCUUAUUAGUCAUUCACUUCCCACUUCCCUUUGCUGCCACCCUCUUAUAAAACACACAGGUUGAGCAAACCGUGUGUGUCUGAAUCCCGGCCAGGCUCCCAGCUCCCUGCCUGCUUGCCCCAGCUGCUCACCCACCCAGCUUAGCUCGACCACACAAGGCUUCAUUGACCUCGGCUCCAGCCAAAGAUGGGAAAACAGCUCCUGAUGGUGUCAACUGCAAAGUUUCCCUCCUGUGCCUCCGUCUCUCUCCCUCCUUCCUGACACAUUAUAUUUUCACAAAGAAGCUACUUGGGAAAACGUGCCAUUAUUCUUUCCCAGGAGGCCCACGGUCACAAAGACAAUUAAUUAUCCAGGGAGAUGGGCUCAGCAGGCCAGUGCCCAGAAAUGGGGAGAGAAGGGAGGUGGGCCUUUUACUCACAUCCCACUGGCUUCAAGGACCCAUUUCACCUGCCAUGUCGGUGCUUGCGGUCUGCUGAAGGUCAGCUCUGCCUCUCAGGAUGAUGAGUAUGGAAAGAGGGGGAUGGCAGGCUGGUAUUUACAGACUCAUGAGCCAAACGUCUGUCUGCAGCCCCAGAAUGAGGCGUGGGCAGCAGGUCCAUGAUGAAAGAUUGCAAACCAGAGCCGAGGAGACACCUGCCAAGCCCCCGGCACCUGGUGAUGGAGGGGUGGGUCGAGAGUGCCUGUGCCAGGGAGGCAGGGGUGCCACACCUACACCCAGUGCCCGCCAUAUGCUCUGUCGCGGAGCCUCUUCGGCUGUGGCAGGCCGCCUGACAUCGGUUAAACCGCUCCGAAGGUGGCCACAGUAAGGCUACCCCUGGCGCAAUAGAAAGGCUCAGAUGCUGUCAAAUUGAUUUGUUCUUACACUGGAAUUUGUUUUUUCUUUCGGCAGAAGGCCUGUUGGUUUCAGCAAAGGCAUCCUGGGCCCCUCCUGGAGAAAAAGUAGUUCCUCUCCAGCACAUGGGACGGGCUGGCUUCCACACCUGCUUUCCUGGUCUUUCCAGCCCUUGCGCUCUCCCCCCCGCCCUCCCCGAGCAGCCUUGCAAAGCCAUCUUGCCUCGUGUUUCCCUGCUGACUCUCUGGCUCUCUCACUGUCUUUCUGACUCUGCUUUAACUUUGCAAGAAACUCUUUGUACACUACAUUUUGCCGGCUACACUAGCAUUUAAUCAUUCAAAUGCCCCAGUACAGCCUGAGGCACAGGUGAUGGGCUGUGCAGGAGCAGGCAUCCUUUGCCCCUUCUCUCUCUUCUUGCCUCCCCCUGGUCCCUAACAGGCAAGAAAAUGCAAGCACGGCCACAAGUACACACACACUCGCCACAGCCCCGCCCCCCACGUUCUAGAAGAAAAUCGAGUGCCAAAAAAUUCUCCCUUGAUUUGCAUAAUAAAAAGUUUCCUAUCUCUGUCCAUUCCAUUAUUACGCCAUCAUGCAGUAUUUCAAAACAGUGGGGAAAAACAGUGGGACCCUCCAUGAUUUAAAGUUACAUGUAUGCCUCAUUCAGAAAGUUGGGGGCAGGGCGGCUUUGUUCUUUUGCAAGAAACUGGGUGACUUGAGGGAGUUAGAUUUAUAUGGUUCAGAUUAUUUUUUAAGGUGAAAAAAUGCUAACUAUAAUAUAAAAAAAGCGAUGGUGUUUGAAAUCCCUCAGACACCCCAAGCACUGGUCAUAAAGACUUUAGAUUUUAUUUCAUUUUUUACAGAUUCAGAAGUGGAAGGACAGAUAGGAAGUGACUCUCCUGAAUUCUAGGCACUGGUGGGUCCCCAGGAGGUGGAGGGAUCCUCGAAGGCAGAGUCUGUCAUGCUGAAAUAUCUUUGCAGCCCCAUCAGUUCUGACACACAGUAGGACCUGAUAAACAUCUCUUUAUUUAUUAAUAAAUGACCGGAAAGGACCAACUGAAUAUAUUCCACAUAGGAACUAUUAUUAGGACAAUUAAUUAUUUAAUAAAUGUAUGAAUCCAAUAUUCCUCCCAAAUUUCAGUCCCUGCAGAGAAAUCAGCUGAGCCAGCAAAGUGCCAUGGACAGCAGCAGCCGAAUUAAGAAUGCGUUAGUUUCUCUUAUUUUCACAUAUGGCCUCAACUUCUGGGAGUUUAUGAGAGAUUAGGACUAUGUGUACAAUUGACAGAGAUUUGACUGCUGGUUUGAGCAGACUUGCUCCAGAGCCCUCAAAGAUAUGGGUUUGGAUGUGUUUACACUGCCGCGCGGCAGGACAAAAGGGAAGCCACGGUGGUGGUUCUUGGACUUGCCUGUGACUCUCUGCCCAGGCGGCGUGUUAGUAUCACCUAUGGAGCUUCUUAAGCAGUACCUACUGCCCAAGUCCCUCUCUGGGCCAAUUAAAUCAAGAUCUCUGGAGUGGGGUCCAGGUGUCACAUUCUAAGGCUCUCUAGAGGGGCCCCCGGUGCAUCCAGGGCUGGCACCUCUGAAAGCCACUGGGAAAAGCAGGCUGGGAAGAGAGAGCUCCCUUCUGCCUCCUACAAGCUCCGGCUUUGCUUCCCCAUCAGUAGUGCUGUUCAAACUUUUACCCAGAUCACCUGGGCAUCUUGCUGAAAUGCAGAUUCUGAUUCAACAGGUCUGGCUGGGGCUUAAGAUUCUAGAACAUGCUCUGGUUAUGCAGAAACUCAGAAUUCUCUGCUCACACGGUCAGAAUUUCUAAUGCCUCUGUGGAUCUUGUCCUUGGAGCCCUCCCAAGGAUGGGCUACACCCCAGAGAGCUCUCUCCAACGGACCUGAGUUGUGGCUAAAGGCAGCCCUUCGGGGGCAUGGAUGGAGCUUGGGUGCAAAAGUCCCUCUCAGGGCAAGAUGGAACCAGGGCGAAAGAGGGAUGGGCAGGCCAUGUGCUGGGGGUGUCCAUUUGUAUACUUGGUCUGGGCCCCGCUAAUGUUAGGGGCAGGCCUCCUGCCCAGACUUGAUGCCCAGGCCUGCAUAUGGAAGGGCUGAUGGAGCUGCAGGUGGGCUGUGUUCCAAGACUUUGCUGGUCCCUCUGGGCUUGGAGACCCCACCUCACAUACAGUGACUGCAGGGAAAGCAUUGCCACUGCAGUGGUAAGAGGCCAGUGGGAUUCUGAUCUUCAGAAGUCCUUUCUCUGCCUUGGUAUAAGCCAACUUCGACUGUGAGGGCGGCAAAUUCCAGCCCCGGCCUCCCAGCUGACCAAUUUUUACUCAAACUCAAAAUGGCCCACCUUCUGGAAAGUGGCUUCUUUGUCCUGGGAAGCAAAGAAUAAAAGCUUCGCUGUAGAAAUCACAGUGCUGGGACUUUUUUCAAUACUGUCGUUUAGCACCACUGAAACCCUCCUGAGAUGUGAUAAAGAGUUCAUUAUAUAGGAGCAAAAAGAUGCAAAAAAGAACAAGAGUCUAUUUGAAUUUCUCUUUCUGUGAAAUACAGCUGGUGGUAAUACAUGCCUGUAAGUCGUGUUUGCCGAGUGCCUUCAGAGCAUUCUCAAGUCUUACAAAGGAAGAUUCUAGAAAACAGCUGGACCCUUAUCCCUGCUGGACCAGUGACAAGAGGAGACCGUUCAGAGCUCCAAUUCAAGGCCUCUGUCCCUGCAGUUGUGAAUUUUUCUUCUAUCCACCCUCCCCCUGUGUUCUUCUCUGGGCCUCAGGUGGGACUCCUGGAAGUGACAUUGUGGUAUGUUGCAUUUUUCACCACACUCAAAGUCCUUUUACCUAGAAGCCUGUCCUCAGCCUUCUUCUGUGUCUUCCGCUCUUGCAGGAUUAUCUGUGGAAUGGCCUGUGGGAUACAUGCUUGAGAUUCCUCUUAACUGCAUACAAAAUAAAUUCUUGCCUUUCCUCCACAAGGAAGAGAGGGAAGAAAACACAGUAGCAGAGGAAGAAUCUAAACAACCUUCAAGGUCAGGCCGGGGAGAAGGAGGUUAUCUUCUCUGAGAUCGAAGAGGCAAUUCAUUUCCUUGAUUGUGCAAGGGGCUGUGUAGACCUAGCAGGAACUCCCACCUCAUAAGGAUUUCUGAACCGGGGUUGGGGAGGGGGAAGUUACCUGAGUGGAAUAGAGUCUCCCUCCUUCCCUUGAGGUGUUUGGAAGCUGGAGCUGGAGCCGAGCAGGAGGAGGUAAAAGCACUGACUGGCUUGCAGAGAGAGAGAAUUAGCCUCGCGUCUGCUCGGGACAAUAGGAGCAGCCGGCUGAAUGAAAUCGGUCUUUUGCCUUCUCUCUCCAUCUUCUCAAGCAACGCAAAGACACCGGGCCACCUGGAAAGAACACCUUGCGGUGUUUCUUUCCCAAACACUUAGAUGUUACUUCAACUGGUUCUUACCGAGGCCACUCCAUGAGUUAGAUGGGAAGCUCAGGUAUCAUUGUCAUCCCUGGGAGAGGGGAUGCACUCACACAGCGGCCCAGUUAGCCUUAGGGCUGGGACUCAGGUUCCCAGAUAAGGCUGUGCUCUUCCUUGAGUCUGGUGAAGUAUUAGGGAUGGUGGGGUUUCUGCCACAGCUUAAGCUGCAGUUCUACAAAUUGUCAAUGUGUUUCAAAAUGGGAAUAAUAUGGGCCUCCCACUUAUCUCCUUGUUAACGUUUGGCUGGAGGGUGGGAUAGUUUGGCUUCUAACUAGGAUAGUUUGGCUUCUAACUAGCCUUAUUAGAAUUGACACAAAGUGCAAAUGCAACUUCGUUGCAAAACAACAACAACAACAACAACAAAAACAAACCAGAGAGGGUGGGGAGCUCGCUCCUUUGCCUAAUUGUGUGGUCUCCUUAAUCGUGAGGCAGUGUCUCAGGGGUUUGACUUCGAACCAGAAAACUCUAGGGAACAUACUGUUGGGAAGAGCCCAGCCUCGCUGGAGGCAAACCGACCAAUGACCUGAUUACAGCUUCAUCAGCCCAACUUGAGUCCGGCAUGGCACCUUUCCUUAAAAAAUUUAGAGUAAAACUGAAUUUUAAAAAAUAAUUGGAACCUCUUUAUACCUCUCCUAUGGCUAUGAAGUCCAAGAAAGGAGGAGCUGAGUUUCUGUAUUCAGAAGGUCUUUUGAGGGGCGGGGGGAGUGGGGGGAGUAGACCUAACAGUGAAAUCCGCUGCCAGUAUUCACCUUAUCAUCAGCUGUGAAGUGCCCUUGGGGCCCCCCACCGCCCCUGACUGCAGCCCUCACCUGUUCUUGUUUUAAGGUACAGCCUUGUUACGAAAAUGACACCUAGAGAUCUGUGAUGUCUGUGAAAAUCAG